GGAGCCUGCGGCUUAAUUUGACUCAACACGGGGAAACUCACCAGGUCCAGACACAAUAAGGAUUGACAGAUUGAUAGCUCUUUCUUGAUCUUGUGGUCGGUGGUGCAUGGCCGUUCUUAGUUGGUGGAGUGAUUUGUCUGGUUAAUUCCGAUAACGAACGAGACCUUAACCUGCUAAAUAGACCAGCCGGCUUUGGCUGGCUGCUGUCUUCUUAGAGGGACUAUCAGCGUUUAGCUGAUGGAAGUUUGAGGCAAUAACAGGUCUGUGAUGCCCUUAGAUGUUCUGGGCCGCACGCGCGCUACACUGACAGAGCCAGCGAGUCUACCACCUUUGCCGGAAGGCAUGGGUAAUCUUGUGAAACUCUGUCGUGAUGGGGAUAGAACAUUGCAAUUAUUGUUCUUCAACGAGGAAUACCUAGUAAGCGUGAUUCAUCAGAUCGCGUUGAUUACGUCCCUGCCCCUUGUACACACCGCCCGUCGCUACUACCGAUUGAAUGGCUA
rnacentral:rRNA from 1 species